UCAAGUAAUUAAGUGCAUGUGGUGGAUGCCUUGGCAGUCAGAGGCGAUGAAAGACGUGAUAGCCUGCGAAAAGCUCCGGGGAGGCGGCAAAUAUCCUUUGAUCCGGAGAUUUCUGAAUGGGGGAACCCACCCGCUAUAAGGCGGGUAUCAUAAACUGAAUACAUAGGUUUAUGAAGCGAACGAGGGGAAGUGAAACAUCUCAGUACCCUUAGGAAAAGAAAUCAAUUGAGAUUCCCUUAGUAGCGGCGAGCGAACGGGGAGCAGCCCAUUAAGUUAUGUGUGUUUUAGUGGAACGCUCUGGGAAGUGCGAACGUAGAGGGUGAUAUUCCCGUACACGAAAGGGCACACAUAAUGAUGACGAGUAGGGCGAGGCACGUGAAACCUUGUCUGAAUAUGGGGGGACCAUCCUCCAAGGCUAAAUACUCCUGACUGACCGAUAGUGAACCAGUACCGUGAGGGAAAGGCGAAAAGAACCCCUGUGAGGGGAGUGAAAUAGAUCCUGAAACCGCAUGCAUACAAGCAG
rnacentral:rRNA from 15 species